UCCUUCAUGGUGAAAUGGUAAACACGCUUGAUUCAAAAUCAAGUGCUUUCUAGCUUGCCGGUUCGAGUCCGGUUGAAGGUA
rnacentral:tRNA from 1 species